GUUGUUCGGAAUUACUGGGCGUAAAGGGCUCGUAGGCGGCCAACUAAGUCAGACGUGAAAUCCCCAGGCUUAACCUGGGAACUGCGUCUGAUACUGGAUGGCUUGAAUUCGGGAGAGGGAUGCAGAAUUCCAGGUGUAGCGGUGAAAUGCGUAGAGAUCCGGAGGAACGCCAGAGACGAAGGUGGCUACCUGGCCCUGACCUGACACUGAGGCGCGAAAGCGUGGGGAGCGAACCGG
rnacentral:rRNA from 1 species